rnacentral:rRNA from 1 species
CUAGAUUAGAGUUUGAUCCUGGCUCAGAGUGAACGCUGGCGGCAGGCCUAACACAUGCAAGUCGAGCGGCAGCGCGGAUGUAGCAAUACAUCUGGCGGCGAGCGGCGGACGGGUGAGGAAUGCGUCGGAAUCUGCCUCUUUGUGGGGGAUAACGUAGGGAAACUUACGCUAAUACCGCAUACGACCUACGGGUGAAAGUGGGGGACCGCAAGGCCUCACGCAGAGAGAUGAGCCGACGCCGGAUUAGCUAGUUGGCGGGGUAAAGGCCCACCAAGGCGACGAUCCGUAGCUGGUCUGAGAGGAUGAUCAGCCACACUGGAACUGAGACACGGUACUCCUACGGGAGGCAGCAGUGGGGAAUAUUGGACAAUGGGCGCAAGCCUGAUCCAGCCAUGCCGCGUGUGUGAAGAAGGCCUUCGGGUUGUAAAGCACUUUUGUCCGGAAAGAAAAGCAUUCGGUUAAUAACCGGGUGUCAUGACGGUACCGGAAGAAUAAGCACCGGCUAACUUCGUGCCAGCAGCCGCGGUAAUACGAAGGGUGCAAGCGUUACUCGGAAUUACUGGGCGUAAAGCGUGCGUAGGUGGUUCGCUAAGUCUGAUGUGAAAGCCCUGGGCUCAACCUGGGAAUGGCAUUGGAUACUGGCGACCUAGAGUGCGGUAGAGGGGUGUGGAAUUCCCGGUGUAGCAGUGAAAUGCGUAGAUAUCGGGAGGAACAUCUGUGGCGAAAGCGACACCCUGGACCAGCACUGACACUGAGGCACGAAAGCGUGGGGAGCGAACGGGAUUAGAAACCCCGGUAGUCCAUGCCGUAAACGAUGCAGACUAUGCGCUGGCGGUCUCAACCCCGUCGG